rnacentral:rRNA from 1 species
GAUUCCCUACGGGGUGCAGCAGGCGCGCAAACUUUACAAUGCGAGCAAUCGUGAUAAGGAAACCCUGAGUGCCUGUCGAUGCAGGCUGUUCAUAUAUCUAAAUCAUAUGUGAAGAAAGGGCAGGGCAAGACCGGUGCCAGCCGCCGCGGUAAUACCGGCUGCUCGAGUGAUGGCCACUAUUACUGGGUUUAAAGCGUCCGUAGCUUGACUGUUAGGUCUCUUGGGAAAUCUUCACGCUCAACGUGAAGGCGUCUAAGAGAUGCCGGCAGUCUUGGAACUGGGAGAGGUAAACCGUACUUCGGGGGUAGGAGUGAAAUCUUGUAAUCCUCGAGGGACGACCUAUGGCGAAGGCAGUUUACCAGAACAGCUUCGACAGUGAGGGACGAAAGCUGGGGGAGCAAACGGGAUUAGAUACCCCGGUAGUCCCAGCCGUAAACAAUGUGCGUUAGGUGUGUCGGUAACCACGUGUUACUGAUGCGCCGAAGAGAAAUCGUGAAACGCACCACCUGGGAAGUACGGUCGCAAGGCUGAAACUUAAAGGAAUUGGCGGGGGAGCACCACAACAGGUGGAGCCUGCGGUUUAAUUGGAUUCAACGCCGGACAUCUCACCGGAUAAGACAGCUGAAUGAUUGUCAAUCUGAAGGUUUUACAUGACUAGCUGAGAGGAAG